AGGUCCGGGAUAACCCCGGGAAACUGGGGAUAAUACCGGAUAAAUCACAAAUACUGGAAUGGUUUUGUGGUUGAAACUUCCGGGGCCUUUGGAUGGGUCUGCGGCUGAUUAGGUUGUUGCCGGUGUAACGUACCGUCAAGCCUGUAAUCAGUACGGGUUGUGGGAGCAAGAGCCCGGAGAUGGAUUCUGAGACACGAAUCCAGGCCCUACGGGGCGCAGCAGGCGCAAAAACUCUACAAUGCAGGCAACUGCGAUAGGGGAACAUCGAGUGAUACUCAUCUUGGGUGUCUGUCCUCCCGUCUAAAAAACGGGAGUUAGCAAGGGCCGGGCAAGACCGGUGCCAGCCGCCGCGGUAAUACCGGCGGCUCGAGUGGUGGCCGAUAUUAUUGAGUCUAAAGGGUCCGUAGCCGGCUUUGCAAGUCUUUUGGGAAAUCCAGCGGCUUAACCGUUGGUCGUCCGGGAGAUACUACAUUGCUUGGGACUGGGAGAGGUAGGAGGUACUCAGGGGGUAGGAGUGAAAUCCUGUAAUCCUUUGGGGACCACCGGUGGCGAAGGCGUCCUACCAGAACAGGUCCGACGGUGAGGGACGAAAGCUAGGGGCACGAACCGGAUUAGAUACCCGGGUAGUCCUAGCCGUAAACGAUGCUCGCUAGGUGUCACAACAAUCGUGAAUUGUUGUGGUGCCGUAGGGAAGCCGUGAAGCGAGCCACUUGGGAAGUACGACCGCAAGGUUGAAACUU
rnacentral:rRNA from 1 species